rnacentral:rRNA from 1 species
GUAUAUGCCUACAACAUAGUGUUAAUGCACUGGAUACCAUUAUAACUCUUCAUUUAAAUGUUCUUAGGAUAGAGUAGUACUAUGAUGGGUGACCAAACAGGAAGUCCUAGUGUUUUAAAUG